AUUGAACGCUGGCGGCAGGCUUAACACAUGCAAGUCGAGCGGAGCGAGGGUGCUUGCACCUUAGCUUAGCGGCGGACGGGUGAGUAAUGCUUAGGAAUCUGCCUAUUAGUGGGGGACAACAUUCCGAAAGGAAUGCUAAUACCGCAUACGCCCUACGGGGGAAAGCAGGGGAUCUUCGGACCUUGCGCUAAUAGAUGAGCCUAAGUGGGAUUAGCUAGUUGGUGGGGUAAAGGCCUACCAAGGCGACGAUCUGUCGCGGGUCUGAGAGGAUGAUCCGCCACACUGGGACGGAGACACGGCCCAGACUCCUACGGGAGGCAGCAGUGGGGAAUAUUGGACAAUGGGCGGAAGCCUGAUCCAGCCAUGCCGCGUGUGUGAAGAAGGCCUUUUGGUUGUAAAGCACUUUAAGCGAGGAGGAGGCUACUUAGAUUAAUACUCUGGGAUAGUGGACGUUACUCGCAGAAUAAGCACCGGCUAACUCUGUGCCAGCCGCCGCCGUAA
rnacentral:rRNA from 1 species